rnacentral:rRNA from 1 species
GAUGAACGCUAGCGGCAGGCUUAACACAUGCAAGUCGAGGGGUAUGGUUCUUCGGAACCAGAGACCGGCGCACGGGUGCGUAACGCGUAUGCAAUCUACCUUUCACAGAGGGAUAGCCCAGAGAAAUUUGGAUUAAUACCUCAUAGUAUAUAGAGUUGGCAUCAACAUUAUAUUAAAGUCACAACGGUGAAAGAUGAGCA